CGAAUAACACUCAACAGACGCGUACAUACGGCUGCGUCACUGCACUUGUGAGGCCCACAUUCCCUCGCGCACCGUGGUGCCAUCGUUUUUUAUCCCUUCCUCACCUCCGCUGGAGAGAGUUGACUUAGAAUUGCGUAUUCACUCUUUUGUGGCGUUUUCUCGCUCUAGAACGGAGGUCGAGAAAGUGGGAGAGAAGUCACGGUCGAGAGAAGAACGUGCUGUGCCCCUUUGCGAAGCUCCUUUAGGAGUGCAGCGCGUUGCAGCAGCACGCACAACCGGAACAGUGCGUUCCUUUGAGCGCUGUGUGUGUGCGUGUUUGUUUCGAUUACGGGAGAAGAGAGGGAGAAAUGUAUUUUGGCGUUAGGUGUAAUCCGGCUCUUGGUGGGCUCAAGGCAUAAUGGACGAUGUUGUUGUUUGAGUCAUAUUACCCCUCGGCACUUCGCGAAAGAGGCAACCGCUGUACAGCAACAUUACAGAGCGCUGUAGAUGCAAGAGCUCCUCACACACUCACGUACUGGAGUGAGGUUGUCCGGAUCCUCUCUCGUGCGCUAGCACGCAAUCAGGCGAGCAGGAUUACUCAGGCAACUCCUGCUCGGCCAGCUGCCAUCUUCGUCAGCAGCUCCGUAGCACCCGUAGUGACCAACACCGCACGUAUUGGUGCGCAGGCAUGCCAAUGGCACAGGAUCAAAAUGCCAAAGAAGACUCCACGCGUGGUGCCUACGAGGUACUUUGCAAAACUGCGUUGCUUUGCCAUCAUGCUGGCUGGAGCGCUGCAUCCACCUUGCACACACGGCGGCGCUGGCCUCUAUAGUCGGUGUACGCCGCAACACCACGCAACUGUUUCACUUCUAAAGUUCCAAUGCUUUGCCUUUCUUGCUUUGCUCUGCGUCUUCCUUCCACACCUGCCGCACCUCUCUAUUGUGCACACCGUCCCCCUUUCCCUCCACCCCCACGUACAG
rnacentral:misc_RNA from 1 species